rnacentral:rRNA from 1 species
CGGGGCUUAAAGUCUUGUAAUUGGAAUGAUGGGAAUUUAAACCUCUUCCAGAGUAUCAAUUGGAGGGCAAGUCUGGUGCCAGCAGCCGCGGUAAUUCCAGCUCCAAUAGCGUAUAUUAAAAUUGUUGCAGUUAAAAAGCUCGUAGUUGAAUUUCUGCUGCAUUGCUUGUGUCCCUCUGGGGUCUGUGCAUGUGGCUUUUUUCGGACGGAGUUUCUUUGUCUGAAUGUUUACUUUGAGAAAAUUAGAGUGCUCAAAGCAGGCUUUCUCCUUGAAUAGUUUAGCAUGGAAUAAUAAAGUAGGACUUUGGUUCUAUUUUGUUGGUUUUAGGUACCAAAGUAAUGGUUAAUAGGAACAGUUGGGGGCAUUCGUAUUUAACUGUCAGAGGUGAAAUUCUUAGAUUUGUUAAAGACGAACUACUGCGAAAGCAUUUGCCAAGGAUGUUUUCAUUAAUCAAGAAC